rnacentral:sRNA from 1 species
GCAGUCAGUUCUGAAGAAUGAAGUCCUCUAUUUAGCCAUGGUUUAGAAACAGUAUGGUAAAGGCUUUCCACAGGCUUCUCCAGUCUGCUCCAGUUUAGUGUCUCACAUGAGUUACCAGAGAACUUACGUUAGGAGGUAAAAAGGUAGCUCAUUUUGUGGUCCCAUUUGAUCCUUAGCUUCU